rnacentral:piRNA from 1 species
UUCCCACACGUUUUCCUAAUGGGCUGC